rnacentral:rRNA from 1 species
UACGGAGGGAGCUAGCGUUGUUCGGAAUUACUGGGCGUAAAGCGCGCGUAGGCGGCCUUGCAAGUUAGAGGUGAAAGCCCGGAGCUCAACUCCGGAACUGCCUUUAAAACUGCAUAGCUUGAAUCCGGGAGAGGUGAGUGGAAUUCCGAGUGUAGAGGUGAAAUUCGUAGAUAUUCGGAAGAACACCAGUGGCGAAGGCGGCUCACUGGACCGGUACUGACGCUGAGGUGCGAAAGCGUGGGGAGCAAACAGG